CAACUCGACUACAUGAAGCUGGAAUCGCUAGUAAUCGCGAAUCAGAAUGUCGCGGUGAAUACGUUCCCGGGUCUCGUACACACCGCCCGUCACACCAUGGGAGUCGGAAAUGCCCGAAGUCAGUGACCUAACCGAGAGGGAGGAGCUGCCGAAGGUGGAGCCGGUAACUGGGGUGAAGUCGUAACAAGGUAAC
rnacentral:rRNA from 1 species